AAAUAACACUGACAAGGACGCGGUGCAGUGGGAAUACAGUCAGUACGAGAGAGAGAGGAGACGAGAGAUAAGGCCGUCGGACCCAAACCAGCAUGUCUAAAACUUUUAACAGUUCAGCUCAGGACGAGGAUUGUGGUCAGGUGGCAGACAGGGAUCUCACUCCCAAGCAGUGAUUUCCAGCUUCUCCUCAGGGAUCCAGAGACGUUCCCAGACCUCCAUCUUUGU